rnacentral:rRNA from 1 species
CAAUAGCGUAUACUAAAGUUGUUGCAGUUAAAAAGCUCGUAGUCGAAUCGGGGCUUGGUGCGCGUCCCGGGCAAAUCUUUUUUUGACCCUUUAGCGUAUCAAGCCCAGUCUUGUUAUCACAGGGCCCAUCCCUUAAUUGGGUGGCCAAGAGAUAGCAUUUUUUACUGUGAACAAAAUAGAGUGUUCAUGGCAGGCCUUUAAAUGGCUUAGAUACCUCAGCAUGGAAUAAUAGAAUAGGACUUCCGGUUCUAUUUUGUUGGUUUUUGGAGCCGAAGUAAUGAUUAAUAGGGAUAGUUGGGGGCACUCGUACUCCGUUGUCAGAGGUGAAAUUCUUGGAUUUACGGAAGACGGACAACUGCGAAAGCAUCUGCCAAGGAUGUUUUCAUUGAUCAAGAACGAAAGUUAAGGGAUCGAAGACGAUCAGAUACCAU